GAUAGAAUACAAAGAUUGCGCCGAUAGGGGUGCAAAAAUUUUUCGUUCUGCGCAUCUACGUCAUAAUAUAAAAGUUGUUGUUGGCGAUCUGUCAAAUCGCAUACAAUUUCGACGAAAAAAAGUAAAUAUAGCAUAAAAUUUUGUUGAAAGACUAAAAUAAAACAAUCUGGUGGCAAUUUAUUGAAUCGAGAAGACGGUAGUGAGUAGGGCGUUCAAAUAAAAAUUGCAUUCUGUGGCCGCCGUUGCGCUGGCAAAUGGAACGAGUAAGAUUUCCAAAUGAAAUUGAAGCCACAGCAAAUAGUGCAUAGCUCCAAGGCUUGGAAACAAAUAUAGAAGCUAUGCGAUGCCAGAAAGACUACAGAGAAUCGAAGAGCGCUAACCAGGAAACAGCGUAAAAGGGCCAAUUCGUUGAGCAAGGGCGUGCUCAUAGCAUGGAAAUACAAUGCAAACGGUGCCAACAUAAAAUUAAACUGCCAAGGCAUAAGCACGAAAUUUUACCUGAAACUGUGACGCCUGCCCACAGCAUCAAAUAAGGAUAUCGUUCCAAUGAAACCCAAUAUUAACGACGAUGAACUCUUUGCGAACGCUCCGGGUUUUCAUCACCGGGCUUGUAAAUUGAUGGCACGGAGCCUCGUUUUAACAAUCUUCUUUUUGCAUAACCUUAGAAAUGUUUUAAACACUUUCAUUAAUAUAAACACAAUAAACGAAAUAAAUAAACAUCCUACCCACUUCAAACUGCAGACUAUUUUCAAAAUCUUCACUUGCAAAGUGAUGCAUGCAAAUAUAGCAAGUUUUAAAUUGGAAAUCCUUGCUUUGCCGGCAGAACUGGAUCCACUUUUUCCUAAGUUCUGGAUCUGAAGGAAAAGUAAACAAACUGCACUCUGCCACCGUUUUUCCACAUUUCGCAACUGCGCACUUCAUUUUACAACGUUUUUAUUUUAUAACUUUAACAAAAAUAUCACAAAUCAAUACGUUUUCCUCGCAAACCA